AGAACGAACGCUGGCGGCAUGCCUAAUACAUGCAAGUCGAACGAACACUUCGGUGUUAGUGGCGCACGGGUGCGUAACGCGUGGGAAUCUGCCCUUGGGUUCGGAAUAACAGUUGGAAACGACUGCUAAUACCGGAUGAUAUCGAAAGAUCAAAGAUUUAUCGCCCAGGGAUGAGCCCGCGUAGGAUUAGCUAGUUGGUGAGGUAAAGGCUCACCAAGGCGACGAUCCUUAGCUGGUCUGAGAGGAUGAUCAGCCACACUGGGACUGAGACACGGCCCAGACUCCUACGGGAGGCAGCAGUAGGGAAUAGUUGGACAAGUGGGCGCGAAGCCUGAUCCAGCAAUCGCGCGUGAGUGAGUGAACGGUCCGUUAGGGUUAGUAAACGCUUACUUUUACCCGAGUAUGAAUAAUGACAGUAGU
rnacentral:rRNA from 1 species